AGCGGGAAGAAGAAACAAAGAACCCGAAGUCAAAGGCCACGCUGUUUACUUCUGACCAUAACUGACCGUAACUUGGCUGUUUCAGAAAGGUAAGGAGUUAUGAUUAUACUGUCUUUUAUUUUGUACUGCCAAUUUUAAAUGAUUAUUGACAGUUAUAAGCAUUAUUUACAAGUACACUACCGUAUAGUCAAUGCAGGAGAGAAAAGGGGGUACCAUCCCACGAAACAAGUGCUUGUAAGAGCUUUAAGUGUUCAAACUAUCUUGUGUAUAGAUGAUAAGAGUUGUUUAAUGUUCUAUCAUGCAAGUUUGCAUUUAUUUUUUUUAUUUUAUAUAUGUUCUUGGAAAGGAGUUUGUGAGGAUAAUUUUCGUUCGGUACUCCUCGGCAGAUUAUAAUGGAACAUGAAGGGUAGCAGAAUCUGCCGAGUCUUAUCAGGAUGAGGUGCAUCAUUCGCAAAUCCAGUGUCAUAUCGAGUUCAUUGUUUUCGUAAGCACUUCCGAUAUGCACAAUCAACAUUUCCUCAAAAUAAAUAGAAAGAUGCUUGUUUAUUUCAAUAGUUAUAAGCGGUUGUGAUUUUUUUUUAUAAUUUUAUUGAUAUGUAUUGUUUUAUUCUAGAUGAGAGAAGUGCAGAGGAAAUCAUCAUCUGUCUUGGCAUGCUAAAAGAGGAGAUAAAGAACAGUAGCAAAUAUGCUGCUAGGCCAUUGACCAGCAGUUGGGUACUAAGAAAGGAGAAGCUCUUAUUGACCUGUAAAAUGAAAACAGGACAUUUUCAAAUUGUUUUGUUGUAGGGAUGGGGUACAAGUAGACGAUUGGUCAAUAUUAUGUACAUGUACCUUGAUAUGAAUUUAUUUUUGAUUGUGUUCAAUGAUAAACUGGAAAUAAAUGAUAACAUAAAUUC